rnacentral:rRNA from 1 species
UACGGAAGGCAGCAGUGGGGAAUAUUGCACAAUGGGCGCAAGCCUGAUGCAGCCAUGCCGCGUGUAUGAAGAAGGCCUUCGGGUUGUAAAGUACUUUCAGUCGUGAGGAAGGUGUUAAGGUUAAUAACCUUAGCAAUUGACGUUAGCGACAGAAGAAGCACCGGCUAACUCCGUGCCAGCAGCCGCGGUAAUACGGAGGGUGCGAGCGUUAAUCGGAAUUACUGGGCGUAAAGGGCACGCAGGCGGUUAAUUAAGUUGGAUGUGAAAUCCCCGGGCUUAACCUGGGAAUGGCAUUCAAGACUGGUUAGCUAGAGUCUUGUAGAGGGGGUAGAAUUCCAUGUGUAGCGGUGAAAUGUGUAGAGAUGUGGAGGAAUACCGGUGGCGAAGGCGGCCCCUGGGACAAAGGACUGACGCUCAUGUGCGAAAGCGUGGGGAGCAAACAGGGAUUAGAUACC